CACCUUUCAGGCUCACACCUGGAGAGUUUUCAGUACCCUUCCAGUCUUCACUACGGGAGGGACAGUCAAUCAGAGGCAUAUCCAUUCCAUUCCUAGCUUGGCCAGUGGUUAGUGAGUGGAAGGCAAUCUGCUACAAGU